rnacentral:rRNA from 1 species
UACAGAGGGAGCAAGCGUUGUUCGGAAUUACUGGGCGUAAAGGGCGCGUAGGCGGUUCGAUAAGUCCCGUGUGAAAUCCCUCGGCUCAACUGAGGAAUGGCACGGGAAACUGACGGGCUUGAGUUCGGGAGAGGGAAGCGGAAUUCCGGGUGUAGCGGUGAAAUGCGCAGAUAUCAGGAGGAACACCAAUUGCGAAGGCAGCUCGCUGGGACGUGACUGACGCUGAGACGCGAAAGCGUGGGGAGCAAACAGG